rnacentral:tRNA from 1 species
AGGAGGCCAGGCCACAGCCAUAGCUUGAAACUAUUGGUGAGGACGUUCAACUCGUCCACCUCCUU